rnacentral:rRNA from 1 species
CCCUUAGAUGUUCUGGGCCGCACGCGCGCUACACUGACGAAUGCAACGAGCUUAUAACCUUGUCCGAAAGGUCUGGGUAAUCUCCAAAUUUCGUCGUGAUGGGGAUAGAUUAUUGCAAUUAUUAAUCUUCAACGAGGAAUGCCUAGUAAGCGCAAGUCAUCAGCUUGCAUUGAUUACGUCCCUGCCCUUUGUACACACCGCCCGUCGCACCUACCGAUUGAAUGGUCCGGUGAAGCCUCCGGAUUGGCGCGCACCUCGGUGCCGCCGAGAAGUUGGCUAAACCUUACCAUUUAGAGGAAGGUGAAGUCGUAACA